rnacentral:rRNA from 1 species
GACGAACGCUGGCGGCGUGCUUAACACAUGCAAGUCGAACGGAAAGGCCCUGCUUUUGUGGGGUGCUCGAGUGGCGAACGGGUGAGUAACACGUGAGUAACCUGCCCUUGACUUUGGGAUAACUUCAGGAAACUGGGGCUAAUACCGGAUAGGAGCUCCUGCCGCAUGGUGGGGGUUGGAAAGUUUCGGCGGUUGGGGAUGGACUCGCGGCUUAUCAGCUUGUUGGUGGGGUAGUGGCUUACCAAGGCUUUGACGGGUAGCCGGCCUGAGAGGGUGACCGGCCACAUUGGGACUGAGAUACGGCCCAGACUCCAACGGGAGGCAGCAGUGGGGAAUAUUGCACAAUGGGCGGAAGCCUGAUGCAGCAACGCCGCGUGCGGGAUGACGGCCUUCGGGUUGUAAACCGCUUUCGCCUGUGACGAAGCGUGAGUGACGGUAAUGGGUAAAGAAGCACCGGCUAACUACGUG